GAGCAGGAGUUAGAACAGGAAUUAGCUGAGCAGAAGAGUCUCCUUCGCUCAGUAGCCAGUCGUGGAGAGGAGAUUCUAAUUCAACAUUCGGCGGCAGAGACUUCUGGUGACGCUGGCGAAAAACCUGAUGUGUUAUCCCAGGAGUUGGGGAUGGAAGGGGAGAAAUCAUCCGCUGAAGACCAGAUGAGAAUGAAAUGGGAAAGCCUACAUCAAGAAUUUAGUACCAAACAGAAACUACUACAGAAUGUUCUGGAACAGGAACAAGAGCAAGUGCUUUAUAGCAGACCAAAUCGACUGUUGUCUGGUGUGCCACUGUACAAAGGGGAUGUGCCGACCCAAGAUAAAUCUGCAGUUACAUCUUUGCUGGAUGGACUGAACCAAGCCUUUGAGGAGGUUUCAUCCCAGAGUGGAGGGGCAAAGAGGCAGAGUAUACACUUGGAGCAGAAGUUGUAUGAUGGGGUCUCAGCCACCUCUACUUGGUUGGAUGACGUUGAAGAACGUUUAUUUGUUGCCACAGCACUUUUAC
rnacentral:sRNA from 1 species